rnacentral:rRNA from 1 species
AACGAACGCUGGCGGCAUGCCUAACACAUGCAAGUCAAACGAGACCUUCGGGUCUAGUGGCGCACGGGUGCGUAACACGUGGGAAUCUGCCCUUUGCUUCGGAAUAACAGUUAGAAAUGACUGCUAAUACCGGAUGAUGUCGAAAGACCAAAGAUUUAUCGGCAAAGGAUGAGCCCGCGUAGGAUUAGGUAGUUGGUGGGGUAAAGGCCUACCAAGCCGACGAUCCUUAGCUGGUCUGAGAGGAUGAUCAGCCACACUGGGACUGAGACACGGCCCAGACUCCUACGGGAGGCAGCAGUGGGGAAUAUUGGACAAUGGGCGAAAGCCUGAUCCAGCAAUGCCGCGUGAGUGAUGAAGGCCUUAGGGUUGUAAAGCUCUUUUACCAGGGAUGAUAAUGACAGUACCUGGAGAAUAAGCUCCGGCUAACUCCGUG